rnacentral:rRNA from 1 species
UUCAGCAGCCGUAUCAUGCUGGCAGCCCCCUGGAGCUCUGCAGGUGUGAGGCUGGUCAGUACCUGGAUGGGAGACCUCCUGGGAAAGCUAAGGUUGCUGCUGGAA